AUUGAACGCUGGCGGCAGGCCUAACACAUGCAAGUCGAGCGCGCGGCGGACGGGUGAGUAAUGUAUGGGGACUGCCCGAUAGAGGGGGAUAACUACUGGAAACGGUGGCUAAUCCCGCAUACUAUCGGAUAAUCCAUAUGGGAUUUGCUAGUGGGUGGGGUAAAGGCUCACCUAGGCGACGAUCGCUAGCGGGUCUGAGAGGAUGAUCAGCCACCCUGGGACUGGGACACGGCCCAGACUCCUACGGAGGCAGCAGUGGGGAAUAUUGCACAAUGGGCGCAAGCUGGAUGCAGCCAUGCCGCGUGGAUGAAGAAGGCCUUAGGGUUGUAAAGUACUUUCAGCGGGGAGGCGUUACCCGCAGAAGAAGCACCGGCUAACUACGUGCCAGCCGCCGCGGUAAUUC
rnacentral:rRNA from 1 species